CUGGGAUAUACGCACAAAGAUCCAUGUGCCAGGAUAUGUGUUGGAGGAUUUAUAUUUGGAGAAAAUUAAAUGCGCAAUGAGAGGUGCUGUUAUUAUUCCCACUUUACAGAGGGGAAGGCUGAAGCUCAAAGAAGCAAGGCAACUCUCUGGAGUCACAGAAGUGAUAAACUGAGGAGCUGGAAUUCCAGAGUCCAAGCUGGUGACGAGCACGGUGAACUCCUCUUCUCUGGCCACCACCCUACUCUACAACAAAGUCUACAAAUUAUGGCCACGGCCAGAUCCAGCUGGCCACCUGUUUCUGUGCUGUUCCCAAGGAAGUACGGGACGGAAAUUAAAGAAGAAAAUGGUUCCACAGGUUUGGUGGCUACAAAAAGAUUUCCUCGAUAAACACUGCCCGCAGUCACUCAUUUGUGAAAGCUGCAUGAUGUGAAAUUAAACUCGGGCAGAGGUGCUGUGGGUGAUGAUGUCUUGGUGGCUUGGGGAAAUGAAAGCCAUUCAUCUCAGGCAAAUGUGACAGGCAGGACCAUUGGCUUUCCGUCACCUAUGGGCUGCCUUCUCAUGGCAGUGGCCUAUGCAGGCCUUACGUUUUUGCAGCAAAUUUGUAAUGAACCAAUCAGUGGCCUUCAUGUCAGGCAACCUAGGAAGGUUUUGGAAGUGGGACUAUUUGCCCCACUGUUGGUGAGUAUUAGAUAUCCCUUUAGGAAGGUUCAAGAGCCCAUGCUGGCCAGGCGCGGUGGCUCAUGCCCGUAAUCCCAGCACUUUGGGAGGUCGAGGUGGGCAGAUCACUUGAGGUUAGGAAUUCAAGACCAGCCUGGACAACAUAGCAAGACCCCAUCUCUACUAAAAAUACAAAAAUUAGCUGGAUAUGGGGGUGGGCGUCUGUAGUCCCAGCUACGUGGGAGGUUGAGGCAGGAGAAUCUCUUGAACCGGGGAGGUGGAGGUUCCAGUAGAGCCAAGAUUGCACCACUGCAUGCCAGCCUGGCAGCAGAGUGAGACUGUGUCUCACAACACACACACACACACACACAC